rnacentral:rRNA from 1 species
AACCCUCGACCUUAGUUGCCAGCAUUCAGUUGGGCACUCUAAGGUGACUGCCGGCUAAAAGUCGGAGGAAGGUGGGGAUGACGUCAAAUCAUCAUGCCCCUUAUGACCUGGGCUACACACGUGCUACAAUGGGCGGUACAAAGGGUCGCGAACCCGCAGGGGAGCCAAUCCCAAAAAGCCGCUCUCAGUUCGGAUUGCAGGCUGCAACUCGCCUGCAUGAAGCCGGAAUCGCUAGUAAUCGCGGAUCAGCAUGCCGCGGUGAAUACGUUCCCGGGCCUU